CCUACGGGGUGCAGCAGUGAGGAAUAUUGGUCAAUGGGCGCUAGCCUGAACCAGCCAAGUAGCGUGAAGGAUGACUGCCCUCUGGGUUGUAAGCUUCUUUUAUAUGGGAAUAAAGUGCAGUAUGUAUACUGCUUUGCACGUACCUUAUGAAUGAGGAUCGGCUAACUACGUGCCAGCAGCCGCGUUAAUACGGAGGAUCCGAGUGUUAUCCGGAUUUAUUGGGUUUAAAGGGAGCGUAGGCGGGUUGUUAAGUCAGUAGUGAAAGUUUGCGGCUCAACCGUAAAAUUGCAGUUAAUACUGGCAGACUUGAGUACAGUAGAGGUAGGCGGAAUUCGUAGUGUAGCGGUGAAAUGCGUAGAUAUCACGAAGAACUCCGAUGGCGAAGG
rnacentral:rRNA from 1 species